UACGUAGGGGGCAAGCGUUGUCCGGAUUUAUUGGGCGUAAAGAGCGUGUAGGCGGCCUGACAGGUCUGCUGUGAAAACUCGAGGCUCAACCUCGAGAUGUCGGCGGAAACCGUCUGGCUAGAGUCCGGAAGAGGAGAGUGGAAUUCCUGGUGUAGCGGUGAAAUGCGCAGAUAUCAGGAGGAACACCGGUGGCGAAGGCGGGUCUCUGGGCAACAACUGACGCUGAGGGACGAAAGCUAGGGGAGCGAAUGGG
rnacentral:rRNA from 1 species